UACAUGGGGUGCAAACGUUGCUCGGAAUUAUUGGGCUUAAAGCGCGCGUAGGCGGUUACUUAAGUCGGAUGUGAAAGCCCUCGGCUUAACUGAGGAAGUGCACCCGAAACUGAGUAGCUAGAGUACGAAAGAGGGUCGCGGAAUUCCCGGUGUAGAGGUGAAAUUCGUAGAUAUCGGGAGGAACACCGGUGGCGAAGGCGGCGACCUGGGUCGAGACUGACGCUGAGGCGCGAAAGCGUGGGGAGCAAACAGG
rnacentral:rRNA from 1 species